CUUGGUGUCCAUAGCAAGAUGGAACCACCCGAUCCCAUCUCGAACUCGGUAGUGAAACGUUUUAGCGCCGAUGGUACUGCAGGUCCACCUGUGGGAGAGUAGGUCGUCGCCAAGG
rnacentral:rRNA from 1 species